rnacentral:rRNA from 1 species
ACGGGGGGAGCAAGCGUUGUUCGGAUUUACUGGGCGUAAAGGGCGCGUAGGCGGCCACCGCAAGUCGACUGUGAAAUCUCCGGGCUUAACUCGGAAAGGUCAGCCGAUACUGCGGGGCUAGAGUGCAGAAGGGGCAACUGGAAUUCUCGGUGUAGCGGUGAAAUGCGUAGAGAUCCGGAGGAAGACCGGUGGCGAAGGCGGCCUGCUGGGCAGUUACUGACACUGAGGCGCGACAGCGUGGGGAGCAAACAGGA